GUGUAGCUCAGUGGUAGAGCGCUUGCCUAGCAUGUGUGAGGCACUGGGUUCAAUUCUCAGCAC
rnacentral:tRNA from 1 species